CUCCCCAUUCAGUCAGACACCUCUUCUUCUCUCGCCACAUCAUCCUCUCCACCCAUACGCCAAUCCCAUCAUCCUAAGCAACCUCCGAUUUGGCAUAAAGACUAUCACGUAACUAACCAAGUCAGUCAUUUUCCUUCGCAGCCUCAUCCUCCCUCAAGUACUUGGUAUCCUCUUUCUAAUUUUCUUUCAUACUCACAUCUUUCUCCUACCCACUAUGCUUUUCUAGCUACCAUUACAAGUCUCACCAAUCCCACUUCCUAUGCUCAGGCUAUCCUUGAUCCCAAUUGGCGACAGGCUAUGCAUGAUGAAUUAGAGGCUUUACAACACAAUAAUACCUGAAGCAUGGUUCCCAUGCCUGCUAGUCACAAACUCAUUGGAUGCAAAUGGGUUUAUAAAAUCAAAUACAAGUCUGAUGGUACCAUUGAACGGUACAAGGCUCGUCUUGUUGCAAAUAGAUACACUUAAGUUAAGGGUGUCAACUAUCAGGAAACUUUUUCUCCUACAACCAAACUCACCAAUCUCUGCUAUCUCCUUACGAGGGAGAACAUUGUAUGCCAGCUCAACAAAUCUCUUCACGGACUCAAACAGGCUUCUAGAAAUUGGUUUUCCACAUUUUCAGCUACCAUUCAGACAGCUGGCUAUCAACAAUCAAAAGCUGAUUAUUCUCUUUUACCAAGGCUCAAGGUACUUCAUUCAUUGUUGUCCUCAUCUAUGUAGAUGAUAUACUUCUUACAGGAAAUGAUCUUCAAGAGAUGGAACGACUCAAAACAUUUCUUCUCACACGCUUCCGCAUCAAAGACCUUGGUGAUUUAAAAUAUUUUUUGGGGAUUGAAUUCUCUCGUUCUAAGAAAAGCAUUUUCAUGUCUCAAAGAAAAUAUGCACUAGAUAUUUUGCAGGAUUCUGAACUUACGGAGGCACGUUCAGACAAGUUUCCAAUGGACAAAAUUUGAAACUCGCUCCCACUGACAGAGCAUUGUUAGAUGAUCCCACCAAGUACAAAAGACUAGUCGGACGAUUGAUUUAUCUCACUGUCACCAGGCAUGACAUAGUCUUUUUAGUUCGCACAUUGAGUCAAUUUAUGCAUGAGCCUUGCAAACCUCAUUGGGUUGCAUCUUUACGAAUUCUCAAGUAUAUCAAAGGCACUCUUGGUCAAGGCUUGUUAUUCCCUGCCUUUGAUAGUCUUGAAUUAAAGGCCUUUUGUGAUUCUGAUUGAGGAGGUUGUCGUGCCACUAGAAGGUCAGUUAUAGGGUAUUGUGUUUUUCUUGGAAAUUCUCUCAUCUCAUAGAAGUCCAAGAAACAAGACAAUGUUUCCAGAUCGUCUGCAAAAGCCGAAUAUCGGGCUAUGGCGAACAUAUGUUUAGAAUUAACUUGGUUGCACUAUAAUUACAAGAUUUGUAAAAGCUCCUAUACCAUUAUUUUGCGACAAUCAAGUCGCCCUGUAUAUUGCAGCUAAUCCCGUUUUUCAUGAGCAGACAAAGCAUAUUGAAAUUGAUUGUCA